rnacentral:lncRNA from 1 species
AAAAGAAUAAGGGUAAAGUUCAGCAAAAGUCUUAUGGUGAUGAUGUUCCUACUGUUAGGCGUUACCAAUUGUCGCGGCGAAGAAUCGGAGACCAAGCUAUUGAUUAGACUUUACUCAUGAAUCGAAAUAUCACCAUCGAACUUUAAUUUAUCCAAGGGGAGGGGAAAAGAUUCAAAAAUAACCCAAUAUGUAUAUGCAAAGCUAUAAGAUUAAACUUAAGCUAAGAUAAAAGGGGGGGAGAUU